GGACGAACGCUGGCGGCGUGCUUAACACAUGCAAGUCGAGCGGUAAGGCCCUUUUGGGGGUACACGAGCGGCGAACGGGUGAGUAACACGUGGGUGACCUGCCCUCAGCUCUGGGAUAAGCCUGGGAAACUGGGUCUAAUACUGGAUAUGACCUUUCCUCGCAUGGGGGUUGGGUGAAAGUUUUUCGGCUGGGGAUGGGCCCGCGGCCUAUCAGCUUGUUGGUGGGGUGAUGGCCUACCAAGGCGACGACGGGUAGCCGGCCUGAGAGGGCGACCGGCCACACUGGGACUGAGACACGGCCCAGACUCCUACGGGAGGCAGCAGUGGGAAUAUUGCGCAAUGGGCGGAAGCCUGACGCAGCGACGCCGCGUGGGGGAUGACGGCC
rnacentral:rRNA from 1 species